AUGCUCUUCAAGAAAAGCCGAUGUAAUUGCAGGGUACAGUGAAAUUCUUAAACUUCAAGCUCCAACAGUGCAGGUCAAAAUUAUACAAAAUGACACUCACUGGAGUGUCUGACAUAGGCUUUGAAAAAGCACUUGCAAAUAGGCCACCAGUGCUGAAGUGCCACUGGCUUUCUGGAUGGGGGUCCCUGGAACACCUAUUUGCCUGGAAAGCGGUCCCUGGGCAAGAGCAGAUGCUUGUACGAGUCGUCUAUCACCAGCUCUCCUGCCUCCAGUUCGCCCCCCGAGGAGGAGCUGUCUCCCCCCAUACCCUCACCGUAGUGCCCUGACACACAAGAGAGAGAGG